UACGGGGGGGGGCAAGCGUUGUUCGGAAUUACUGGGCGUAAAGGCUCGUAGGCGGCCAACUAAGUCAGACGUGAAAUCCCUCGGCUUAACCGGGGAACUGCAUCUGAUACUGGAUGGCUUGAGUUCGGGAGAGGGAUGCGGAAUUCCAGGUGUAGCGGUGAAAUGCGUAGAUAUCAGGAGGAACACCGGUGGCGAAGGCGGGUCUCUGGGCCGUAACUGACGCUGAGGAGCGAAAGCAUGGGGAGCGAACAGG
rnacentral:rRNA from 1 species